rnacentral:sRNA from 1 species
AGGUUUUUUCCAGGAGACCCUGCUGCUCAGUGCUGUAAACAGCCAUGGUGGCUCCUUUCUUCUUGCAUCAGGCAGUUACAAGCAUGGGCCAAGCUUGGUGGUGAGAUCCUGGACUACAGGGACUUGGCAGCCCUUCCUAAAAGUAAGGCCAUCUAUGACAUCGACCGCCCCGACAUGAUCUCCUACUCACCCUACAUCAGCCACUCUGCAGGGGACAGGCAGAGCUACGGCGAGGGGGAUCAGGAUGACCGGUCCUACAAGCAGUGCCGGACCUCCAGCCCAAGCUCCACUGGGUCGGUCAGCCUCGGGCGCUACACUCCGACCUCACGGUCACCACAGCACUACAGCCGUCCAGCUGGUACUGUGAGUGUGGGUACCAGUAGCUGCCUCUCCCUGUCCCAACACCCAAGCCCUACAUCCGUGUUCAGACAUCAUUACAUCCCCUACUUCCGAGGCAGUGAAAGUGGCCGGAGCACCCCCAGCCUCUCCGUGCUCUCUGACAGCAAGCCGCCCCCCUCCACCUACCAGCAGGCACCUCGCCACUU